GCCGGGAGGAGGAAGGGAAGGACCGCCGGCCGCUCCUCGGGACCCGCCCGCCCGCGCCCGGGAACCGGCUGAACUGUUCAACCAUCAUCCAGCCCCCGGGACUGCCAGCCCUAGAUCUUCCUGCUGCUGCUGCUUCCACUGCUAGAGAAAUCGGAAUUUGCUGGGAAAAAAAACCGAACCAAAGCAAACCGAACCAAGAGCUUUUCAUCGCCCGGCCGAGGAAGGAAGGCAUGCUUCGCUGUUUCUGCUCCUCCUGUUUUCAUCCCCGUUAAAAGAUGCACUUUCUGUUGGAUGCUGUCACCGCGCUGAAU
rnacentral:lncRNA from 1 species